GGGCUAAUAGAAGUCCAUUGGAACUUCAGUUAUUUUACUACUUUGCUUCUUAUUCAUGUUCUUCGGCUCGCUUGCAUUCUUCAGUGAUUAGAGAGGGAGAGCGAGAAUGUGAACAGGUGUGGAAGCAAGGAGUGAAUUCCUUGGUGGAAGUGAGCUGUGAGUGGGAGUGGCUGAAGUGACAAGAGUCGCAAAAGAGGAUUAAUUGACCGAGAGAGCAGUUGGGGGAGUGGUAAAGAGAGUUACGUAAGUUGGAAGAAUAAUGGAAAGCCGAAGAACUUGAAUUUAGAAUCGGAGUACACAAUAAUUAAGUUCCGUUUUAUAUACUUACAUUAUAGGCGGAUUAAUUUCGCGCAUUACACCAAAAGUGAUAGGGUCGACUUGGGAAAGGCUUUUUCGCCACGCGGUGUUUGACCAAAAAGGGGAUAAAAAGGGAGUGUUUAGUUGACAAGGGGCAGUUUUUCGUUCCCGAUUUGUUUUGCCGCCGUAGGCCAUGUCGGUUUGAAUUUUUGUCUGUCGUCGGUCGUCCAGCCCAGAGAUGCGACAUUUAUUAUUAUCCAGCAUGUAAUUUGACUUUGAUUUAGAAUAAAACCUGAUACACAACUUAACUUCAUCGAACUUGUCAUUCUUUGACUCCCGUCUUUUUUUUGUACGUGGGCAGCGCAAGACGGUGGGCGGCCACCGGCCGUCUUGCAAAGCUGUGCCGCUACAAAAUUGGUAGUACGGAUGGGGUCGACCGUCAUCUUCAGCAUGUUCGGGGAACGUUUUAGUCCUUCAGUCUGGUUUUACGCAUAAACACAAUGUUUAUCGGUCAUUGAGAUAAAUUCAACAAGGAGAGCUUCACUUCAUGUCACCGGUUCCGGCUUAUUUUUUGUUCGAGGAUGUGAAUUGAUAUUAUUUUAACUUUAACGUUGGAGAGAGAAAUUCAGCUGCAGGGGUUGGAUUGAGCCCCCACAUCGCCCGGGUUUUCGACGUUGGGACCUUACAUGUGCCGUUGAGCUCAGGAGAAAGAACCCUUCGUCCUGGGACUCACGCGUGGCUGCAUUGUAGCGAGGAGUCGAGGGACCUGUGAAAACCACUGCAAAUAGACCUGACGGGGUAGCAUAGCUGGUUUCCACUAAAACCCUCCGGAUUAGUUGGUACCGACGAAGUCUGGUGAUUUCACAUUACACUGCGGUGAGAGGAGUCGUUUAACUGCGCGAGAAUCGUCUUGGAAGGGGCUGUAAAGGAACUCAGCAGGGCGAUUGCUUUUCCUUUGGUCGUCUCAUGAGGAUGGAUUGAGGUUAGGUACUGAAGGCCGCAGGCGCUAGUCCGGCUCGGGGAGUUGGACGCUAUCGAGGAGCUCCGAGACAUCGUUCUUCCAACCAACGCUUCGACACGGCCCUUCAUCUUCGUCAUCGACGUGGUGUGGUAGACCCUGUCUUCGAUAUCUUCGACGGUGGAAGCUGGCACUGUCGUUUGGAAGCCGAUAGCCUUGGCGAGUGAAGCAGCAGGAGUCGCUGGAAAACUACAUAUCAGAUGGCAGGAUGGUGUCAAACGGAACUGGAGGAGGCAUGGGAUAUCCACCUCUGAUGGUAGUUUUGAUAUCAUCCCAAAGUCUUGGUAAAUGGUAGAAAACAGUAAUGUUUGGGUUAUUUUUUUGUCCAUGUAAUAGGACUUGUAAAAUUUGAACAAAUGAAAAAAGGGAUU
rnacentral:lncRNA from 1 species